rnacentral:tRNA from 11 species
AGUGGCCUAGUGGUAUGACGUCCGCCUGGUAACCCAGGGGCCGCGGGUUCG